CCACCGCCACGCCUCCCAAGGGUGGCCGCCAGAAAACCCGUGUCCCUACGCGGUAGCUCAGCGACUUUUCCAGGGCAUGGCGUGGUCUGGUCCUUGCCAUUGCCACUCCGCACCGCAGGCCGCCGCGCGCCCCAGGCCCCACAUCAACAACCACCGUUCCGUCCCCGUCCCCACGGCCUGCGCGCCCCGUCACCACGGGCAUCGCGCCCGCCGGUUUGAAACCCUUCCGCCGCCGCCUCCUCUAUUUAACCCCACAACCUCACCCCACUUCACUUCACUCCCCAGUCCCCAUAGACUCCAGCCUGAGCUGCACCGUGAGCGCUCGCCGCUCCGCAUCGCCGUCCCAGUCCCACACCCCGCAUCCAGCCUGCCCCAGCGUAAUGGCGCUUCGCCAGGCCGUCCUCCUGGCCGUGGUCCUCGCCGCGCUGCUCCCGCUCGCCCUCUCUCGCGGGUUGGGCUUGGUGCACGGGCAUGUGCGGCCGCACACGCACGGGCUGGGGCUCGGCCACCACCACGCCCAGCCGCACCCGCACCCGCACGGGCACGCACCGCUCGUAGGUGGCGCGUGGUCCUCUGCUCACGCCACCUUCUACGGCGGCGGCGACGCGUCCGGCACCAUGGGCGGUGCGUGCGGGUACGGCAACCUCUACAGCCAGGGGUACGGCACCAACACGGCGGCGCUGAGCACGGCGCUCUUCAACAACGGGCUCAGCUGCGGCGCCUGCUUCGAGGUGCGCUGCGACGCGGCGGGGGGCGGGAGCCACUCGUGCCUGCCGGGCUCCGUCGUGGUGACGGCCACCAACUUCUGCCCGCCCAACAACGCGCUCCCCUCCGACGACGGCGGCUGGUGCAACCCGCCGCGCGCCCACUUCGACAUGUCGCAGCCCGUGUUCCAGCGCAUCGCGCUCUACAGGGCCGGCAUUGUUCCCGUCUCCUACCGCAGGUCCGUGGUGGAACUGAUUCUUGUUGUAAAUUUCGGUUUCUUUGCCCUUGGAGCCGAACAAGGGGGAAAAAAAUCCGAGCAGAUCUGACAGUUGCGCUUGUUUGUGCUCUGCAGGGUUGCGUGCAACAAGAAGGGCGGCAUACGUUUCACCAUCAACGGCCACUCCUACUUCAACCUGGUACUGGUGACCAACGUGGGAGGCGCCGGCGACGUGCACGCGGUUGCCGUGAAGGCCGAGCGCUCCCCCGGGUGGCAGGCCCUGUCGCGCAACUGGGGCCAGAACUGGCAGAGCAACACGCUCCUGGACGGGCAGGCCCUGUCCUUCCGCGUCACCACCAGCGACGGCCGCUCCGUGCUCUCCAACAACGCCGCCCCCCGCGGCUGGUCUUUCGGCCAGACUUUCAGCGGUGCCCAGUUCAACUGAACACACCCCCACCGUUCAUGCAGCGUCGACGCAGUGGCACUAGUACUAGUUGUUCCGUCCACCCCGAUUGGAGCCUGCCGAGAGGCGCCAUGGUUUUAUGAAUGGUCUGCACCUCGCAUUUGCUCCUGGGAAUUACCAGUAGUUUAGGCCUAGUAAUAGCGCGGGUUUUAUCGUGCUUGCGUUAGCAUGGUGUUUUAGUGUUCCUUGGUUGUAUCCGGCUUGGAAAUUGGAGGUGGUGGUAAGGCUGGUCUGCAGAUAAACGGAGGCAGGCUGCCUUGUAUCACCCGCCAAUUAUGCGUUUAGGGCCUCAUGGUGAUGGCUCCUUCGAGAUGAGAUGUUUUCUGAGUUAUUCAAGUGUGUUAGUUGUAAUGAAUCUUAUCAAGUUACUAUUUCCUAAUAUAUUAUCCUUCGGAAAUGGGUGCUUGAGUUUAAGCAGGAACUUCAGUGUGCCUCUCCUGAGACUCAAUUUUAUUCUGGAAUUUGAAUGUAUUUUGGAUCCGUCAUC
rnacentral:misc_RNA from 1 species